rfam:Thermoanaerobacterales bacterium 50_218 S_scaffold_190, whole genome shotgun sequence.
UCGCCGGUAACGGCGGGGUCUAUUGGUGCGCCGAAGGAAGAACAUGGAACGUAGCGCAAGCGAACCGGGGUUGGCUUCUCAGGUGGGUAACCUUGCGAAAAGUGGGAAAGCCCGAAGGCUGGAUGACCUGAGGAGUUUGGACGGACGGGUUCAUGUUCAGGCAGGCA